rfam:Haemonchus contortus, ISE/inbred ISE, WGS project CAVP01000000 data, contig: Hcontortus_contig_pathogens_Hcontortus_scaffold_2341
GGCCCAAAUUUGAAGUACAGUAGAUGAGUAGGGUUAGGUGAUACUACUAAUCUACUCUACUUCAAAUUUGGGCCC